ensembl:snRNA U6 U6 spliceosomal RNA
GUGCUCACGUUGGCAGCACACACACUAAAAUUGAAAUGAUAGAGAUUAACAAUGGCUCCUGUGCAAGGAUGACAUGCAGUUCUGUAAUGCAUUUCAUAUGUUU